rnacentral:rRNA from 1 species
UACGGAGGAUCCGAGCGUUAUCCGGAUUUAUUGGGUUUAAAGGGUGCGUAGGCGGCCUAUUAAGUCAGGGGUGAAAGACGGUAGCUUAACUAUCGCAGUGCCUUUGAUACUGAUGGGCUUGAAUAUACUUGAGGUAGGCGGAAUGUGACAAGUAGCGGUGAAAUGCAUAGAUAUGUCACAGAACACCAAUUGCGAAGGCAGCUUACUAAGGUAUGAUUGACGCUGAGGCACGAAAGCGUGGGGAUCAAACAGG